AAUGAAUAUACUUUUGAUUCUUAUAAUUAUAUAGGUGUCUUUGCUACGGGGUACUUAUCCGGGCAGAGUCCUCAUUGAUUUCAGAUAAAUACCAAAAAUAGAAACAUGACAGUUACUUUUCAUCUCCUAGUAAUAAAGGAACUAAGUUCUCUACAAAUGCAUGAAACAAAAACUAACUUCUGCUUUUAGUCUCACUUGUCAUUUGUUCUGCUGUGAAAUAUGGAAAAAAAAA